rnacentral:lncRNA from 1 species
CUAACCAAAAUGUACUUUGUUUUUACUUCCUCUAAUAAAAGGUUUGCAGGCAACCAUGUUUGAUUUGAAUUAUCUAAGAUGGUACAAGAUCUACAAAGCUAGGAAAAUAAUUGAGUUUUAUAGUGUUCUUUUUGGAAUACAAAGAUAAGGUUAGAUAAACAAUCAUUCUGAUUUUUUCAAGACUCAUGAAUCAGACAGCUCCCUAUGUAGAUGCUAGUUUGCACUGACAGCAAACACGUAGUGGCAGAACAGCUCUGAGUAGUCCUCAGCAGUAAACUGGAGGAUGUACCAGAAAAACACCAGUAGUUCACAUUCGAGUAUUUAGUAGUUAAACCUAAUUUGGUAGUCAUUUAGGUCCCCUAUAGUUUGAUGUAUUUCUCCAGGCUCCUAACUUUUCACACAUUCACUAUAUCUAGAGGCAUAAUCUAUCCUGUUAGAAUUAUAUCAUGUCCUUAGAAGCGUUUUCCAUCCUGUUGUGGAGGUUUAAUAUGUUUCUUUACUGAUUGUGAAAUUUUUCGUUCCCUGAAACUGGUUAACUUUACUUCAUAGUUAAAUAGAUAAGGCAGAAUGAUUGUGUUAGCCUGCUCAAACUGGUACAAAUCUGUGAAACCAUGGUUGGCAUACGUUGGAUAACAAACAAUAUCUAAGAGGCAUAUGCUGCAGUGGCGUGUAGUGGACAUGUGUACAGACGCUUUCAAUCUUAACUAUAGUGUUAGUGUGAUGCUAUACUAUUGGAAAAAAAUAGCACAUUUUUUUCUAUUUUAUAAGUUGUAUGCAUAAAGAUAAGAUUUGUUACGUUUCGUUUAUAAACUGCCUUCAACACAUGCUUACCUGUUAAAAUAGCGUUUUCUCAAAGUAUGGUAGUAUGUCUUCCAGAAUUUCACUAUAUGCUUACAGUAAAUAGUUCCUAACUUGUUGAAAUGUUAAAUUCCUUAUUGGUUUCUUUUGAUUCUCUGGGGCAUAUAGCAAGCCUGAAAGACAUUAUAAUCAUUUCUUACAGGGUGAAAAUUUAGAAAGAUUGCGUAUUGGAGCCUAAAUAGUUAUUUUAUUCAUUAUCAUCUUUGAGUAAGACUUCUUUUAUUUUAAACAAAUGCUACUUCCAGUUAAGGCAUUUGGCCCUAAUGACUUUUCAGGGACCAAAAUACUUUAAAGUUCUGCAUCUUAAAACUAACCAAUUAAGUAUCGGCUUGGGAUUGUUCAGAAGUAUUCAUUGCUUAAAAACUAUUGUAAGUGACAGUUGGCAAGAUCUUCAAGCAGAAAGUUCCACAGUCAGAUCUUUUGCCUGAAAAGAAUCUGUAUGUAAAUGUUAAUGGAAAAUACAUUUUAAAAAACUGUAAGGUGGCCCAAAACAAAAGCCACAAUUUGUCAUUUGGUGCUUAGUCUUUGUAAGGGCUCUCUGUGGUUUGACUUGCCCCAGCUGCCUUUAAAUGAGUACAGAUGACUUUCAAACAUGUUUAUUAAAUAGAAAAUUCAUUCUAUAAUUUAAUUGAGAAUCUUAGCCUAAAAUGUUUUGGCUUCUAGUCCACCCUGAUUAAAAUGUGAAUAGUGAAGUGACUAUCCUAAGCCUGGUUUAUCUCAAUCCAUACUACCAUAGAUUUCUGAGGUAAAUACAGUUCUUACGUAGUGGUAUUCUACUUAUAUCCAGAAUACUGUAUUCAUUAAAAUUUUACUAUGUUCAUUUGUGUAUUCCCUUGCUUAUUUUUUUUGCUCAUGCAUGUAUACUUACUAUAAAUUGUUGCUUUUAAAGUUUUGUCUCUGUGACUUUUAGAAAUAAAUUUCAAAAAUUAUUUCAG